rnacentral:lncRNA from 10 species
AGUUGUAUAGGCAUGUCAAAAUGACUUUAUACAGUCAAUAUGAAACAAGCAUUAAAUAUUUUUUCUCAUGUUGUUGCUUUUAUCAUUAUGAAUUCCUUGCUUGUUGCCACCUAAGAUACGAUGGAGCAAGCACAGUCUUAAAGAAGAUUUGCUGAUUUUUUGUUUUUCUCAGCAGACCAGAGACAUCCAUAAAAAUUCAUCAGAGAGCAUUUUACUACUGAGCUGCAAAGGUGUCUGAUGAUUUGUGAGCCUCAAGUGACUACUCUGUGGAAUCAUCUGUCCUUGCCUUUGAAUUAGCUUUCCCUAGGCCAUGAGUCAACAUUAGUAGUUUAUACAUCCAAAUUGAUGACAAGAGCACCUCAAAGGCAGCAGCCUCAAGGAGCAGCCAUGGCCCCAGACUUGUCGCACGGAUGCAGAAAACUUAAUGGAGGAGGCUGAGCAAAACAGAGCGUGACACUCCCAAUCAUCUGCAUGCUGGAAAUGAGGAAAUGGUUAUUGAAUGAUACAAGUGCUUUUCGAUCAUUUAGAAAGUUCUGUUUCCCAAGAUCUUUUUUUUUUUUUUUUUU